AACGAACGCUGGCGGCAGGCUUAACACAUGCAAGUCGAACGCCCCGCAAGGGGAGUGGCCGACGGGUGAGUAACGCGUGGGAAUCUACCCAUCCCUACGGAAUAACGCAUGGAAACGUGUGCUAAUACCGUAUACGCCCUACGGGGGAAAGAUUUAUCGGGGAUGGAUGAGCCCGCGUUGGAUUAGCUAGUCGGUGGGGUAAAGGCCUACCAAGGCGACGAUCCAUAGCUGGUCUGAGAGGAUGAUCAGCCACAUUGGGACUGAGACACGGCCCAAACUCCUACGGGAGGCAGCAGUGGGGAAUAUUGGACAAUGGGCGCAAGCCUGAUCCAGCCAUGCCGCGUGAGUGAUGAAGGCCUUAGGGUUGUAAAGCUCUUUCACCGGAGAAGAUAAUGACGGUAUCCGGAGAAGAAGCCCCGGCUAACUUCGUG
rnacentral:rRNA from 1 species